rnacentral:lncRNA from 1 species
UGCAAGUCUCAAAAUACUAGUGUACGUGACCACCUUUUGAAGUCGAUAUCCUUUAUUUUUGUUAAAUAGAAAGUCAUUCAAUUAACUUUACCAUUAUUCGUACAAAGACUAAAAUACAAGGGAACAUUGAAAGAAACACUAAAAUCAUACGAAAAUACAGAUUCAUAGUGGGGAUUGGUACUAGAGUUUGUUGCAUUUGGACGAUAAUGUGCAAUUUGCACGUACUCUACGGAGCAGCUAUGUCGCAACCACCAAACCGACAAGUACAACAAAUCCAGCAAUCGUCGCACUCUUUUCCGGUUGUGCAAGUUCUCCCACAAUGAAAAAGCCAUUAAGACGAGGGACUAGGCUCCUUUCGAGUCUUGAGAGAUCAUGCUCAACAUUCUGAAUAGCCAGCACGUUAGAAUUUGAGAACCAUGGCAAGUUGACCCAAAUAUAUCACAAUCAAAAUUAUCAAAAUUAAAAUAUGAAUGAUAUAACAUGAAUAAAAGUCACAUUUUUAAACAACAUGGAUAGGAACAUAUGUGUAUUUGUGUAUAUACGAAAUAUGUACAGCGUCUAUGUUCCAUCAUGCAUUUGUAAGCACAAUAAUAUCAGUUUGAAUUAGAGAUAAAAGAAAGAUAUACUAACUAGUAAUUGUCAUGAGAAGAACGGUGAGCACGAAACUAAACUUAAGCAACAUCAUGUUACUAAAAAAAUAGUACUUUACACUUCGUAAAAGUUUCUGCAUGAGCAUUU